GACAGAGGAUGCAAGCGUUAUCCGGAAUGAUUGGGCGUAAAGCGUCUGUAGGUGGCUUUUUAAGUCCGCCGUCAAAUCCCAGGGCUCAACCCUGGACAGGCGGUGGAAACUACCGAGCUGGAGUACGGUAGGGGCAGAGGGAAUUUCCGGUGGAGCGGUGAAAUGCGUAGAGUAUCGGAAGGAACACCUGUGGCGAAAGCGGCUCACUGGACCAUUACUGACGCUGAUGCACGAAAGCUAGGGGAGCAAACAGG
rnacentral:rRNA from 1 species